rnacentral:tRNA from 1 species
GCUCCUGUGGUGAAAUGGGUAGACACGUCAGAUUCAAAAUCUGUCGCCUUAUGGGCAUGUUGGUUCGAGUCCAAUUGGGAGUA